UUCGCAGCGCCCGCGCGCCGGGAGCGGCGGCAAAAUGGCGACGCCCGCGAAGCGCCGAGCGAAGAGCCCUGAGGAGGAAGCGGAAGGCGGGAGCCCGGGCAGCGGCCGCCUGCGCCGCUGGAGGCGAAGAACGGCCCCGCUAGCCGCGCUGGCCCCGCCGGAGGCCGAGCCGCCCUUCGUGGAGGGCUCCAUCCUCAAGAUCUACAUGGAGAACUUCCUUACUUACGAUUCCUGUGUGGUGCUUCCAGGACCCCAUCUAAACAUGAUAGUUGGAGCUAAUGGAACAGGUAAAUCAAGUAUCGUAUGUGCCUUAUGCCUGGGAUUGGCUGGAAAACCUUCCUUCAUAGGACGAGCAGACAAGGUUGGUCACUAUGUGAAGCGGGGUACUAACAAAGCAGUUGUUGAAAUUGAGGUGUUUAAGAAACCAUCCAAACUUGUUAUCACACGGGAAAUGUCUGUAUCAAACAACCAGUCUGCUUGGUUUAUUAAUAAGAAACCGUCCACUCUCAAAAUGGUAGAAGAUCAAAUUGCAGCCUUAAAUAUCCAAGUAGGCAAUCUGUGCCAAUUUCUUCCACAGGACAAGGUUGGAGAAUUUGCAAAAUUAUCCAAGGUUGAACUACUUGAAGCCACAGAGAAAUCGGUUGGUCCUCCAGAAAUGUACAAAUAUCACUGUGAUCUGAAAAACUUUAGACAGCGAGAGCGAGAACUAGAGAAUUCAUGUAAAGAGAAACAUAGCAACCUAGAGAAAAUGAAGCAAACAAAUGAAAGGUAUAAACAAGAUGUGGAGCGAUACCAUGAACAUAAACGCCAUCUGGAUUUAAUUGCAAUGCUUGAGAGAAAAAGGCCCUGGGUGGUAUAUGAAGAUGUCCGCAAGCAAUAUGAACAGGUGAAACAAAACAGAGAUCGUCAAAAGGAGGAAUUAAAUGCACUAAGAAAAUCACAAUCUCCCAUGACACAUCAGAUCCAAGAGGCUGAGAAGCAGUGUGCAAGUCUGAAUAACAAAAUCCAAGAGAAAGCUGCAGCUAUCAGAGAAACAUCUCAGAAAUGUAAACAGCAUCAAGAUGCUUUGGAGUCAAAAGACAAAGAAAUUGAGAGAAUUAUGCAGGCAAUGAGGAUGAAGGAGGAGGUAGAAAUGGACCGACAGAAGAGAAUACAAAACACUCGUAAGAUGAUAGAAGACUGGAAUAAUGAGCUAAGAAAUACAGACAGUCCUGAGAAUAUUCAACCUCAGAUGGAUUCAAUUAAUGCUGAGCUUAACCAUUUGCAGAAAGAGAAACUAAAUAUUGAUGGUGAAUUAAAUCAUCUGACAGGAGAAAAGGAGAACUUGCUAAAGGACAAAGAUGGAGUAAUGAAUGGCAUUCUGCAGUUUGAGAAUAUGAUGAAGAUGAAGGAAGAGAAGCUCAGAAGGAGAUUUCAAGACACACACACUGCUCUUAGGUGGCUAAGAGAAAACAGAAACCGGUUCGAAAGAGAAGUCUGUGAUCCCAUGAUGCUUGCAAUCAAUAUGAAAGAUCAUAAGCAUGCUAAAUAUGUAGAAAAUCACAUUUCAUCCAACGACUUGAGGGCCUUUGUCUUUGAAAGCCAAGAAGAUAUGGAAAUCUUUCUAAGAGAGGUGCGUGAUGUUCAGAGGCUCAGAGUGAAUGCUGUGUGCGCACCAAGUGAAUCUUAUGCUGAAAGCAGACCUUGGAAACCAGUUGAAGAACUGUUCCGGUAUGGAGUUUUCUCUUACUUGAGAGAGUUGUUUGAUGCUCCCCACCCUGUGAUGAAUUACCUGUGUGAUAAAUAUCGCAUUCAUGAGGUCCCUGUCGGCACAGAGAAAACCAGAAAUAUGAUUGAAAGGGUCAUAAAAGAAACCAAACUGAGAAGCAUCUACACAGCAGAAGAAAGAUAUAUGGUAAAAUUGUCUUUUUACACAAAUCAGACCAUUACCAGUAAUAUAUCACUGAAGCCGGCACAGUUCCUUACUGUCACAGUGGAUGCAGACGAAAGAAGGCAGUUGGAAAAUCAACAGAAGGAAAUUGCAAGGCAGCUGGAGUUGCUGGAUUCUAAAAUGGCUUCCCUCUCUGAACAACAAAAACGUAUGGAACACAGAGAUAAUGACCUCAGACAACAGAAAAAGUUGCUAUUGGAUAGAAAAAACAAAAGAAAGCAAUUGGAAUCAAAAAUUAGUAUGAAAAGUGACAGUUUGAGACAAAUGGAACAAGAUGGCGUCAACCUGGCAGAAGCGUCUGAGCAAGCGAAGAUUGCAGUAAAACAAAUUAACACUGGAAAAGUAAAACUCGUUACAGAAUUUAUGCAACUAAUAAAGAGUUGUGUGACCUUGAACAAACAGAAAACAGAUUUGGUUCUACAGAACAUGAAAGCGGCUUUCCACAAGAGCAGACUUGAGGCUGAAUAUAAAGCCUGCGCUGUCCAGCUACGAGCUGCAGAGCAGCAGCUUUUGGAGCUGGAUGAAAGGAGACGCGCCCUCUUGGAGAACUGUAAAGGUUUAAUGAGGAAAGCUAUGCAAGCUUGCAACCUUCGUCCAGAUCAAAGUAUUCCAGAACAUUUCAGCAACGCAUUCCUUGCUCUUCCAAACACACUGGAUGAAAUUGACGCUUUGCUGAAUGAGGAGAAAUCAAGAGCUUCCUGUUUCACAGGCCUCAGCGCUUCAGUUGUUGAGGAAUGUAACAAAAGGACAGAAGAAAUAGCACAGAUGACAGUGGAGCUGGAGGAGAAGACAAAAGAAUUGGAUGACUAUAGGCAGAAUAUUUCACAGGCUAAGGAAAAGUGGCUAAACCCUUUGAAACAGCUAGUUGAGCAAAUUAAUGAAAAGUUCAGCGGCUUUUUUAGUUCCAUGCAGUGUGCCGGGGAAGUGGACCUACAUACAGAAAACGAGGAGGAAUAUGACAAAUACGGGAUUCGGAUUAGAGUCAAGUUUCGCAGUAGCACCCAACUUCACGAACUGACUCCACACCAUCAGAGUGGAGGGGAGAGAAGUGUUUCGACGAUGCUGUACCUGAUGGCUUUGCAGGAACUCAACAGAUGCCCCUUCAGAGUGGUGGAUGAAAUAAAUCAGGGAAUGGACCCAGUUAAUGAAAGGAGAGUCUUUGAUGUGGUGGUUGAAACGGCUUGCAAAGCGAGCACUUCUCAGUACUUCCUUAUUACACCAAAGCUCCUGCAGAACCUCACUUAUGCACAGAGGAUGUCAGUGCUGUUGGUCUACAAUGGAUCUUCUAUGCUAGAAUCGAACAAGUUCAGCCUGAAGUGCUUCCAUAGGAGACGGCUGCGAUUUCUGUGUUCAUAAAGGUCUUCCAGAGCUCGUCUUUGGGGAAAAGCUACUGCUGAGACCAAAAUCCUAACCAAAUGGUAUGCCUUACAGAAAAAACAAGCUCCAGAUCAUCACAUGCACCACCAGAGGCCAGUAUAAUACACAGUAAUGAACUGCUGUGUUGCUGUUUCACCACGCGGGUGAUGAGAAGGGCUUGAGAAGGGGGAAUACAUCUUCCACUUUAUAUUUGAGUGGGAUGUUUGUGUCCCUUCUCAAAAUAGUUUUGAGCCACACUGUUACCCCACAGUCCAGAAGUCCCUUGGUAAGCUGUGUAGCAUGCAGAAUAGUAAUAUGGAUGAAGGGUGCCUGCAUGAAACAGCCAGGAAAAAAGAAGAAACAGGCAUUGGAGAUGGAGAGAUAGUAGGUUCAGCCCAGACUCUGAGGUCCAGCGCCGAGGGCCUUCUGGCAGUUCCUUCACUGCGAGAAGCGAAGUUACUGGGAACCAGGCAGAGGGCCUUCUCGGUGGUGGCGCCCGCCCUGUGGAAUGCCCUCCUAUCAGAUACAUUUGAAAUAAACAACUCUCUGACUUUUAGAAGACAUUUGAAGGCAGCCCUGUUGAGGGAAGUUUUUAAUGUUUAUUGUUAUUGUUGUUUUAUUAUUGUUAUUGGUGUUCUGUUGAGAGCUGCCCAGAGUGCCUGGGGAAAUCCAGCCAAAUGGGCGGGGUAUAAAUAAUGUGUUGUUUUUGUUAGUAUUGUUGUUGUUACUGUGGUUAUUGUUAUUACUGCUGCCACCGCAGAAUUGCAUAUAAGAGGUCAGCUGGCUGUCUUCAAUUUUUGAUCCUAGUGCAGAGACUGAGUUAACUUUCUGUUUAGAAUAAAUAACAUUCUCCCACACCCCCAUUACAAACAUUUUGUGGCUGGUGCCCACUGGUCAAAAAAGGCUGGCAACCCAUGUGCUAAAGAGCCCCAGCCAAAAUGGUCAGUGGUCAGGAAGGAUGGGGACAAAGGCUUUUGUAUUUGGGGAGCAGAGUUUAUUGGGAGGAAUGUGCUUGGGACUUGGUGUUUUGCAGUCACACUAUUUCCCCCCCAACAAACCUUUACUCUUGGAGUGCAAAACAAAAGAAGCUCAGACUUGUCACAUCUGCUGCUUGAAGCUCAAGCAACUGUAGUUUCAGUCCAAAGUCUGUUUCAUCAUAACCUGUAUUGAAUUCAAAACUUGUAAAUUGUAUAUAGACAUUAACAAGUGUGCAAAUAGGUAGUCAAUUUCCUGUUGCAGAUCAAGCCAACAAGUAUCUCUGCAUUAAUAUGUACUUUUGCAUCAAAUAAAAGAAAGCUUUCCCACCCUCA